UCGGAAUUCGUCGCCGGAGAUGGGCCCCGCCGCGGAGCCGCGACGAGGAUGGGACUCUGCAUAGUGCAAUCAUCGGUGAGCAACACUCUACCUGUUUUGCCAGGACCUCUGCAUCGUAUAACGCGUGUAAGCAUGUGAUAUGGGUCACCAGGGGGGCUGAUCGCCUGACCUCGGCGAGGGCGCCGCCGUGAAAUAGGGGGGCAUCGUCGCUGCUGGCUGUAGUGGGGCAAACGAUGGCCGCUAGUCGUUGAUCAGCUAUUGGGCGGCCAGGAUUAUAUCCCGUUUGCAUAAAAUCUGAAUCGUUGGUCAUAGAUCUGGCGGCUCGCAGUGAGUACCGGUUCACCAUGGAGAUGUUCUAAUCUGAGCCGUGCAUUUAUGAUCGGGCAGCUGAUAAACACACAUACCCUUUUGCCGAGCGUAACUUACAAAAGAGUCCCUCGGUUUUUGUAGAAUCAACCCGCAGUCCACCCAGUUCAAUGGAAAUCACAGUCAAGGCCUCGAAUUUCACAAAUAAGUGCAUGGAAUCUUCAAAACAGCCCCUGACGACUUAAAAUUAUGAAAUUAAUAUAAAAAGUAUAAACAAACUUAGACAAUCUAUAUCUUACUCAUUUUAACUUUGUUUUGAUCUGUUUAAACUGUGUUAGCUUCGUAAUAAUAUUGCCUACACAGUAUAAAACUGUUUGUAAUAUAUCACAUACUUUUAUAAUUAGAUAUUUCUUUAAUCCAUAAGAUUAACCUUUCUAAUCAUCGUUAGUCUAUCUAUAAUUAUAAACCGACUAAAAGAUAUCCUCCGAUCGAAAACUAUAACUUAGAUCAAAGUUGAAUUAGUUAUUUCUCUGAAAUAUUUUUCUCACAUGAUUUAUGUUAAUGAACAUAGAAUAUAAUUUUAUUGUUUAAUCACCUAAAACUUUGGAAAACCAUAUCUUUUCAACUAUGACUCCGAUUUUAGUGGUUCUCGAACCUACGAUCUUAUAGCGACACGUAGAAUAUUCUUAUAUAGUUUGUUCUUGUAUUUGGUGUAAUGUUAUCAUAUCCAUUAUUUGUUUAUUUGUAUGUAAUGUUGCAAUAGAAGCGAGGUGACGUGGAACCUGAAGCUUCAAUUGGAGAAGUAUCUGGAGUUACAUAAAAAGGCAAGAUAUGUCUUUGAUCACUUUCUUUACCUAAUAAUUAUUCUAUUAAUCACCGUGGCAUAGUUAGGUUAAGUUGAUGGGACCUAAUAAGUUACCUAAUUUUGUUUACUCUAUACCUUGCAAACAAAUGAAAUAUUGGGUAGUCUUGCUAUUGCUUUAUCUAGUUUUGGGAUUAAUGAUAUAUAUGAAUUAUGAUCAUGCUUUAUUAUUGCGAAUGAAAUUCUUUAUUUUCAUGAUAAGAACAUUGUGUCAAUUGCAACAUGGAACUUAACCUGAGAUAACAAUUAACAGUGCUACCAUAAGAGUGGAAUGAGAUGCCCUUAGCCAAUUAAUUAGGAAAGUUAGGGAGAGAUUACUUUACUCAAAACGGGCAAGCGGGAGGCAUCGCUGCAGAGUAUGGAGAGGUUCUCGUGUCGAUCAUGCUGUGAUGGCUUUUCGAACAAGAGAUUCCUAUGCUUCCUUCUUCCUAAAAUUGUAGCGGGUUUUCUCAAACUAGCGAAACUUUGUAAAGGCCUCACAGUGGAUCCCUAGUGUUGCACCAUGGGAUUGUCUAAGUGUGUAGCUAACCUUGUCUUUAUGGGAAACACAUAUUGUGGGUAAAGAUGUGCAACCUUUGCAGAGUGUAAAAGUGGUAUAUCAGUCGCGCAAACGGUCAUGAGCGACUAAGGAUUCUCACAUGAUUAACUUAUAGAAUUAAAUUUAAUCUAUCAUUUGCAUUGCUAUUAUUAUUAAUUAUGCUCAAUUACUUAAUUGAGUUGGUACUCACUUAUACUUAGUAAUUGCUAAUAAAAUUUUGACAAACUAUUUAAAAGCAAUGCUCGGCUUUAACCAUUCUACUAGCAAGCCUUACACCACACUUUUUCCACACUUACUGAAUGAUGAUCGUAUGUGAGCUCACUCUUGCUAUAAUCACACUAGGUCAAGCAUAGGUACCAUAAAAUGAGGAGCAUGCAGGAUACUACAAUGAGUACGGAAAGGUCUAGACCGUUAUCUCUCAGUCAACUAUGGUUGCAGGGAUCGUUGUCGUUAUAUAAUGUAUUUAUUUAGCUAUUUUGUAUAGAACUCCUAUUAUAUAAUAUAGAUGUGAC
rnacentral:lncRNA from 1 species